AAUGGACAGCGACGGGAGGCUUGCCUAGCUGGCUUUGCAACGCUUCUCUGUCUCCAGUCCUCAUCUUCACGGAUCUUCACUUCAUUGAGAGAGGCACUGCAGAGAACGCUGGCUUCCCUGCUGAUCCUGGUCCCUCCUGCUGACUCAUACUGAUCGGACUGAGGCCUGGCUGUUUCUGCUAGGUCGUGCCACCGUGGCUGAUUUGUGUUUACUAUCCUGACUCUACUGAACUGGACUGCUGGUGUAUCCAUGAAGUGUUUGUGAGUGGAUCUAGCUGCCGCUGCUGAUUUCCUAACAACGCAGAUUGGAUUUGCUCCAAAGAACAAUUUCUAAACAGGGUCUCACUACAUCCUGUGUUGAACUUAAGACCUCUUGACUCUGCCGUCAGAGUGCCAGGAUUACAGAUGUGCACCUGUGCUUGCGUUUGUAGCAGGUUGACAGGUAGUGCUGAUACUGAGGACCCCAGUGCAAGCUAGAGAAGGACGCCAGCCUGUGAUCCAGACCCAGCUUUGUGUGCUCGCUCAUGACAGAGACCAGAGAGCUACAGAGUAGCCACUAGACGGCGUCAAGGCUCAAGACUUUGAGGCGAUUCCUAGGCACUUGGUGAAUGGCUCUCUCAAAAUCAGAAGGGUUUCCACAAAGCCUUGGACACUGUGGGCUCAGAAGCAAUACCUUAUUUUUUUUUUUUUUAUGGGUGACUAAAACGUUCUGAAUUCAAUACCAAUAGUCCCUCUCUGGCAUCCACAGUCUUCCACCAUUGCCGCAUACAGCUUCUCCUAUGCUAUUGCGUAAGUCUCUGAACAAUUGCCCACAUCUUCCAGGAAGAUUCAACUAAAAACCUCAGAACUUCUCUCCUGGGCGAUCCAUCUCUGCCCUGUCAACAUCUGUGCCUGGGCACCCCUCCAUCUCUGUUACUUCAGACAGCGACCCUCACUGCCUUUAAACCUGGCUCUCCCAUGCACAUCCCGACAGGCUUUCUCCUCAUCCCCCACAUCCACUAUUUCCAUGGCCUAUAACCACACCAUCAUUCCUCUCAUGUACAAAGCAUGUUUGUAUCCUUUUGUUUAUUGUUGGUUUGCUUUUUGCAAGCAUGUAAAAUUACAUGUACACACACUGUACAAAAUGUGGGUUCCUCUUGAUGAGGUGCUGUUGGCAGUUGGUGGCUUCUGGAAGACAGUCAGUUUUCUUGGGGCUGUGACCCUUGAGAGGCUAUGCAUGCUCCAGUAGAUGGUCCUACACCUGUGUAAUCCAGACAGCACUAGACGGUCUCAGACUCAGUGCGGUUUUUGUUUGUUUUUAAAGAACAUAUGAAGUUGGGAGGGGAACAUGGUGAGGAAUGGGGGAGGCAUCAAAAGAGAGGAAAUGGGGAAUAGGCUUGAUCAAAACAUACAUACAUAUAAAAGAGCCCUUGAUGGGAAGACAUUUGUUACAAUGUGUCUUGAGUUAAGAACUCAGACAUUGUGAUCAUAACUGAGUUUGAUAGCUGGGACUUAGAUGUUGGAAGAAGAGACUGUACCUUCAUAGAUUGUCCUCUGAACCCCACUUGUGUGCCUUCAAGCACAAACACACACUAUACACACACACUAAAAUGCACACACAUACACACACAUAAAUGCACACACACACACACACACACACACACCCUUAGUUGUCACAGGAUGAUGCUGUCAGCCCUUACUGACAGCACACAUGACAAGUGACCCAAGCUAAAUGACUGGGAAAAGGUGGGGUUAAGAUUGUUUCCCAGCAUCUGCCAAGGACGGCACUGUUCAGCUGCCGAUCCGCCCUUGAACAUGUCAGUCAACUAGUAGAAGUAUUCGCAGUAUUCGCACAAAGCACAAAUUUGAGCUUCCCAAAUCCAAGGCUCUGAAAAAGGAAAUCCUUUGAACUCUGAAACAUAUUGAGUACCAUAAUGUCACAAGUAGAAAAUUCCCCAGUAGACUUUCAUGACAGGAUGUGGUCAACACAGGCGCUAGGACACCAAACUGUAACUGCUGCUAUGGUUUGGAAGUGUGCUCCAACAGAUUCGUGUGUCGCAGGCUUGGUACACAAUUGUGGAUCAGUUGGUCAGUUAUUCAGUGGUGUUUGGGUCAUGAGAGAUCAAUGGAUUCAUUGUUUGAUGAAUCAUUUGAUCCCCAUCAUUUGGAGGAUGGGGAAACUAAGGCGUGGGAUCUGGUUGGAGGAAGCCACCAGGGCAAACGCCUUUGAAGAUGUAUCUUAAUACCACUGCCCCCUCCCAUUGCUCUACAUGCUGGCUUUCACGGGGUGAGCAUCUUUGUCUGUCACAUGCUCUUUGCCAUGACAUCAAGCCUUACCUCAAGAAGCCAUGGAUUGAAAUCUCUGAAACUGAGCUAAAAUAAAUGUCUCUGCUGUUUC